CAAUGUUUCCGCAGUGCAAUA
rnacentral:miRNA from 1 species